rnacentral:lncRNA from 1 species
CCCCAGCAACCCCUCUGUCCCAGUAGCAGUGAGCAGCGGGCCAGGCCGGGGAGAUGCUGACAGUCAUGCUAGUAUGAAGAGUCUGCUGACCAGCAGGCCUGAGGACACCACACACAAUCGCCGCAGCAGAGGCAUGGUCCAGAGCAGCUCCCCAAUCAUGCCCACAGUGGGGCCCUCCACUGCAUCCCCAGAAGAACCCCCAGGCUCCAGUUUACCCAGUGAUACAUCAGAUGAGAUCAUGGACCUUCUGGUGCAGUCAGUGACCAAGAGCAGUCCUCGUGCCUUAGCUGCUAGGGAACGCAAGCGUUCCCGCGGCAACCGCAAGUCUUGUAAGUAACCCCCCACAAUCCCACUGCCCACCUGAACCCCAUCAACCCCCUCCAACCCUGCUCUGUCCCUGCAGUGAGAAGGACGUUGAAGAGUGGGCUCGGAGAUGACCUGGUGCAGGCACUGGGACUAAGCAAGGGUCCUGGCCUGGAGGUGUGAAGGUGCUGUAUCCCGGAAAUCUAUCUGGACCCUGGACUGCAGUGCAGGAGAUGACAGAGUGAGGAGGGCCCAGAGCAGAAUUCUGGCCCCAGAACUCUGUGCCCAGGAGCCAUGCCUUGAGCAGUAUUAGCCGUGUGUGUAUGCAUGUGAGUGUGUGUGUAUGUGUGUGUGUGCAUGCAUAUGCAUGUGCAUGUGUGUGAGCUCCUUGAACGCACGGAGCAAAAUAAAAUUUUCUUAGCUAAUCCAACA